GACGUAGGGUGCGAGCGUUGUCCGGAUUUAUUGGGCGUAAAGAGCUCGUAGGCGGUUCGGUAAGUCGGGUGUGAAACCUCCAGGCUCAACCUGGAGACGCCACCCGAUACUGCUGUGACUAGAGUCCGGUAGGGGAGCGUGGAAUUCCUGGUGUAGCGGUGAAAUGCGCAGAUAUCAGGAGGAACACCAGCGGCGAAGGCGGCGCUCUGGGCCGGAACUGACGCUGAGGAGCGAAAGCGUGGGGAGCAAACAGG
rnacentral:rRNA from 1 species